rnacentral:lncRNA from 1 species
AAUUCUCCUGCUUCAUCAUCCUAAGAGAGCCUAGGACUACAGUUUCAGAUCUGCCACCAUCUAGCCGUGUGACCUUGGACAAGCCUCUUCAGUUCUCUGUAUUCUCCUCAGUUGUAAAAUGAAGGACUAAACUAUUCAAAUCAGUUCCAUAAGCAUUCAUCAGGCACCUUCUCGGAGUAAGACAUCAUGCUCAGCCACCUAUAAAAUUCUAUGAUCCUGAAUAGUAUCAAUGGGAAAAUAUCAGAGCAAAGCAAAAUAGUCUGUUUGUGGCAAGGUUGAAGAGAGAACCCAAAUAGCCGACUGCAUUACCUCAUCUCAAUGAGCAAUGUUUGUAAAUAUCCAAAGUGUUUAAUUUUGAGACACUCUUGAGAAAUCCUUUGCCAAUAAGAAAUUGGCAGAUAUGGUUCUAUUAACACCUAUCAGCCUUGAACCUUCCAAAAAUUAAACAUUUAAAGUCACUUUGCACCUUAGUCAAAUGGCGUGCUUCUGGAGAGAAAUCUGGGAAGAUCAAAGUUAUUAACACUCCCGAUGGCAACAGUUUAAGAAUAGGAUGUGUUAAAAAAAAAAAAAAAAAAAAAAA